CUCCAAGUGGUUUUGCUUGGAUGACAUGUUCCUUCCUAUGACUGGCAAUGGACUUAAUUUGUUUUAUCAAGCCCAGGACACAUGAUUUACCUCUACACCAGGCCUUCAAACUCAGACUGAAACCAUACCAUUGGAUCUCUGGGUCUCCAGCAAAUCUUGGGAAUCCUCGGCCCUCAAAAUCAUGUAAUGAAGAUUCUAUAGGCCCAUACGGCUCGUGCUCUGAGUAGCAAGGAUUUAGAUGACUCCCAUUUUGAAGAGUAAGAAGGUAAUUAUAUUACGGAAGUAUAAUAUUAUUGUGACAUGGUAUUAAGGGCUCAGUUGAGGUUGUAGUCAUGAAUUUAACACAGUGUGAU